ensembl:ncRNA H03A11.5 ncRNA
UUCCCAGGCCCUUCCCUCCACAUCAUUCGCCGAUGUUUACAGCCUCUUCGCCUCUCCAAUGUUUUGUCGUUUUUACAAUAUACAAGGUGUGCGGGUCUGUCAGUUUAGGAGUGGAUGGAGGAGGAGGAGGUGGUUGAUGGCGUGCGUGUGGUGAUGUUUCUCGAAAACAGUGUGGCAGUUUCUUUUUCUCUCCCCCCACUUGCCC